UAUUGGACAAUGGGGGGAACCCUGAUCCAGCGAUGCCGCGUGUGUGAAGAAGGCCUUAUGGUUGUAAAGCACUUUAAUCGAGGAGGAGGCUCUCUUGGUUAAUACCCAAGAUGAGUGGACGUUACUCGCAGAAUCAGCACCGGCUAACUCUGUGCCAGCAGCCGCGGUAAUACAGAGGGUGCGAGCGUUAAUCGGAUUUACUGGGCGUAAAGCGUGCGUAGGCGGCUUUUUAAGUCGGAUGUGAAAUCCCCGGGCUUAACUUGGGAAUUGCAUUCGAUACUGGGAAGCUAGAGUAUGGGAGAGGAUGGUAGAAUUCCAGGUGUAGCGGUGAAAUGCGUAGAGAUCUGGAGGAAUACCGAUGGCGAAGGCAGCCAUCUGGCCUAAUACUGACGCUGAGGCGCGAAAGCGUGGGGAGCAAACAGG
rnacentral:rRNA from 1 species